CCUCGUGGCGGCCCGUACCCCAAACCGACUCAGGUGGUCAGGUAGAGAAUACCAAGGCGAUCGGGUGAACUGUGGUUAAGGAACUCGGCAAAUUGCCCCCGUAACUUCGGGAGAAGGGGGGCCUCCGCUGGUGAUCAGACUUGCUUUGUGAGCUGGUGGGGGUCGCAGAGGCCAGGGGGAAGCGACUGUUUACUAAAAACACAGGUCCGUGCGAAGUCGUAAGACGAUGUAUACGGACUGACGCCUCCCCUGUGCUGGAACGUUAAGGGGACCGGUUAGCGCAUCUUCGGGUGUGCGAGGCUGAGAACUUAAGCGCCAGUAAACGGCGGUGGUAACUAUAACCAUCCUAAGGUAGCGAAAUUCCUUGUCGGGUAAGUUCCGACCUGCACGAAUGGCGUAACGACUUCCCCGCUGUCUCAACCGCAGACCCGGCGAAAUUGCACUACGAGUAAAGAUGCUCGUUACGCGCAGCAGGACGGAAAGACCCCGGGACCUUCACUACAGCUUGACAUUGGCGUUUGGAACGUCUUGUGUAGGAUAGGUGGGAGACUGUGAAGCUGUCACGCUAGUGGCGGUGGAGUCAUUGGUGAAAUACCACUCUGGUCGUUUUGAACGUCUAACUUCGGUCCGUGAUCCGGAUCAGGGACGGUGUCUGGUGGGUAGUUUAACUGGGGCGGUUGCCUCCUAAAGAGUAACGGAGGCGCCCAAAGGUUCCCUCAGCCUGGUUGGUAAUCAGGUGUCGAGUGUAAGUGCACAAGGGAGCUUGACUGUGAGACCGACGGGUCGAGCAGGAGCGAAAGCUGGGACUAGUGAUCCGGCGGUGGCAUGUGGAAGCGCCGUCGCUCAACGGCUAAAAGGUACCCCGGGGAUAACAGGCUGAUCUUCCCCAAGAGUCCAUAUCGACGGGAUGGUUUGGCACCUCGAUGUCGGCUCGUCGCAUCCUGGGGCUGGAGUAGGUCCCAAGGGUUGGGCUGUUCGCCCAUUAAAGCGGUACGCGAGCUGGGUUUAGAACGUCGCGAGACAGUUCGGUCCCUAUCCGCUGCGCGCGCAGGAGACUUGAAAGGAGCUGUCCCUAGUACGAGAGGACCGGGACGGACGAACCUCUGGUGUGCCAGUUGUUCCGCCAGGAGCAUGGCUGGUUGGCUACGUUCGGAAGGGAUAACCGCUGAAAGCAUCUAAGCGGGAAGCUCGCCUUGAGAUGAGGUCUCCCACCACGUGAGUGGGUAAGGCCCCCGGGAGACGACCGGGUUGAUAGGCCGGAGGUGGAAGCAUGGUAACGUGUGGAGCUGACCGGUACUAAUAGGCCGAGGACUUGACCAC
rnacentral:rRNA from 1 species